GCCAGUGUGGCAUAGUGGUUUGAGUGUUGGACUAUGACUCUAGAGACCAAGGUUUGUUUCCCAGUUCAGCCA